GAUGAACGCUGGCGGCGUGCCUAAUACAUGCGAGUCGAGCGAACAGACGAGGAGCUUGCUCCUCUGACGUUAGCGGCGGACGGGUGAGUAACACGUGGAUAACCUACCUAUAAGACUGGGAUACUUCGGGAAACCGGAGCUAAUACCGGAUAACAUGUUGAACCGCAUGGUUCAACAGUGAAAGACGGUCUUGCUGUCACUUAUAGAUGGAUCCGCGCCGCAUUAGCUAGUUGGUAAGGUAACGGCUUACCAAGGCAACGAUGCGUAGCCGACCUGAGAGGGUGAUCGGCCACACUGGAACUGAGACACGGUCCAGACUCCUACGGGAGGCAGCAGUAGGGAAUCUUCCGCAAUGGGCGAAAGCCUGACGGAGCAACGCCGCGUGAGUGAAGAAGGUCUUCGGAUCGUAAAACUCUGUUAUUAGGGAAGAACAAAUGUGUAAGUAACUAUGCACGUCUUGACGGUACCUAAUCAGAAAGCCACGGCUAACUACGUG
rnacentral:rRNA from 1 species